UGUCUUCAAAAACAUUGUCGCUGACACAAAGCACAACAAGUGUGCUUGUUUGCAAUGUGUUCCUGGUUUUUUGGGAUCGUAUCAUUAUUGCUAUCGAAAUCUGGUAACAUAUCUACCAUAGACUCCAGGCUGCUGAUGCUCGAGUCCAGAUUUUGAGAUGUUUCCGACGACACUAUGGCAGCAGUAGGGUAUAACAAACUGACCCACUGAUAUAUAGCACCAAAAUAACUACGAAAGACAGUAUUUAAAGUUUAAAAUCACUCCUACGCGUAUAUGAAAUUUUGCCGGUAUGAAAAUGUAAACAUCUCAUUUGACAGCUUCGAAUAAAGGCAGAGUUGACACACACA